GUGUUUUUAGUAUAUAUAUAGUACACCUACCUUCCAAGUAAGAAGAUUAAUAAUUAAAAAACACA
rnacentral:tRNA from 1 species